AUUCAACGCUGGCGGAAUGCUUUACACAUGCAAGUCGAACGGCAGCACGGGGGCAGCCCUGGUGGCGAGUGGCGAACGGGUGAGUAAUACAUCGGAACGUGCCCGGUCGUGGGGGAUAACGUAGCGAAAGUUACGCUAAUACCGCAUACGAUCUGAGGAUGAAAGCGGGGGACCUUCGGGCCUCGCGCGAUCGGAGCGGCCGAUGUCAGAUUAGGUAGUUGGUGGGGUAAAGGCCUACCAAGCCGACGAUCUGUAGCUGGUCUGAGAGGACGACCAGCCACACUGGGACUGAGACACGGCCCAGACUCCUACGGGAGGCAGCAGUGGGGAAUUUUGGACAAUGGGCGCAAGCCUGAUCCAGCCAUUCCGCGUGCAGGACGAAGGCCUUCGGGUUGUAAACUGCUUUUGUACGGAACGAAAAGGCUCUGGCUAAUACCUGGGGCUCAUGACGGUACCGUAAGAAUAAGCACCGGCUAACUACGUG
rnacentral:rRNA from 1 species